UACAGAGGUCUCAAGCGUUGUUCGGAAUCACUGGGCGUAAAGGGUGCGUAGGCGGCGCGGAAAGUCAGGGGUGAAAUCCCGGAGCUCAACUCCGGAACUGCCUUUGAUACUCCCGCGCUAGAGAGCUGGAGGGGACAUCGGAAUUCACGGUGGAGCAGUGAAAUGCGUGGAUAUCGUGAGGAACACUAGUGGCGAAGGCGGAUGUCUGGACAGUAUCUGACGCUGAGGCGCGAAGGCCAGGGGAGCGAACGGG
rnacentral:rRNA from 1 species